UUAAAGAUGCCUGCCUUCAAGCUUGAUGGGAAGAAAUGCAUUCUUGAUUAGAAUUGACGACCUAUAAAGUGGGCACUUUUUUUUUUUUUUUGAGGCUGGGCACUUUUUUGUUUUUUUUUUUUAAACAAAAAUAUGGCUUCAGUGAAGUCUUUUGUUUUGAGUUUUUUUUUCAUAUGCUUGUUGGCUGUGUGUAUGUCUUCUGAAAAGUGUCUGUUCCUG
rnacentral:lncRNA from 10 species